rnacentral:rRNA from 1 species
AACAAACGCUGGCGGCGUGCCUAAUACAUGCAAGUCGAACGGGGAAAGUAGCAAUAUGAGUACUAGUGGCGCACGGGUGAGUAACGCGUGGAUAAUCUGCCUUGAAGAGGGGGAUAACUAGUCGAAAGAUUAGCUAAUACCGCAUAAGACCACAAGAACUGAGGUUCAAGGGGUCAAAGGUUUUUCGCUUCAAGAUGAGUCCGCGUAAGAUUAGCUAGUUGGUGAGGUAAUGGCUCACCAAGGCAACGAUCUUUAACUGGUCUGAGAGGAUGAUCAGUCACACUGGAACUGAGACACGGUCCAGACUCCUACGGGAGGCAGCAGUAGGGAAUAUUGCACAAUGGAGGAGACUCUGAUGCAGCGACGCCGCGUGAGUGAUGAAGGCCUUCGGGUCGUAAAGCUCUGUCGCAGGGGAAUAACACAAUGAAUGUACCCUGUAAGAAAGGAUCGGCUAACUUCGUG